GCUUUAUAUUUUUAAGUAAUUGUUUGUUUAGAUUAUUUUUUACAAGGGCUAAAAAAAUAUUUUGUUGGGGUGACAGGAAGAUAAAUAAAACUCUUUUUAACUUAUUGCCACUGAUUUGUGAAUUAUUGAUCCAUUAAUAAUGAUUAUAAGACUAAGU
rnacentral:rRNA from 1 species